CAGGCAACGACGGCCUUGCCUAAUACAUGCAAGUCGAGCGGACAGAUGGGAGCUUGCUCCCUGAUGUUAGCGGCGGACGGGUGAGUAACACGUGGGUAACCUGCCUGUAAGACUGGGAUAACUCCGGGAAACCGGGGCUAAUACCGGAUGGUUUGUUUGAACCGCAUGGUUCAGACAUAAAAGGUGGCUUCGGCUACCACUUACAGAUGGACCCGCGGCGCAUUAGCUAGUUGGUGAGGUAACGGCUCACCAAGGCAACGAUGCCGUAGCCGACCUGAGAGGGUGAUCGGCCACACUGGGACUGAGACACGGCCCAGACUCCUACGGGAGGCAGCAGUAGGGAAUCUUCCGCAAUGGACGAAAGUCUGACGGAGCAACGCCGCGUGAGUGAUGAAGGUUUUCGGAUCGUAAAGCUCUGUUGUUAGGGAAGAACAAGUGCCGUUCAAAUAGGGCGGCACCUUGACGGUACCUAACCAGAAAGCCACGGCUAACUACGUGCCAGCAGCCGCGGUAAUACGUAGGUGGCAAGCGUUGUCCGGAAUUAUUGGGCGUAAAGGGCUCGCAGGCGGUUUCUUAAGUCUGAUGUGAAAGCCCCCGGCUCAACCGGGGAGGGUCAUUGGAAACUGGGGAACUUGAGUGCAGAAGAGGAGAGUGGAAUUCCACGUGUAGCGGUGAAAUGCGUAGAGAUGUGGAGGAACACCAGUGGCGAAGGCGACUCUCUGGUCUGUAACUGACGCUGAGGAGCGAAAGCGUGGGGAGCGAACAGGAUUAGAUACCCUGGUAGUCCACGCCGUAAACGAUGAGUGCUAAGUGUUAGGGGGUUUCCGCCCCUUAGUGCUGCAGCUAACGCAUUAAGCACUCCGCCUGGGGAGUACGGUCGCAAGACUGAAACUCAAAGGAAUUGACGGGGGCCCGCACAAGCGGUGGAGCAUGUGGUUUAAUUCGAAGCAACGCGAAGAACCUUACCAGGUCUUGACAUCCUCUGACAAUCCUAGAGAUAGGACGUCCCCUUCGGGGGCAGAGUGACCCGGUGGUGCCUCGUUAGCUGCGCAUAAAUACGAAAAUAAAACAUUG
rnacentral:rRNA from 1 species